GGUGUCUCGAGAGGGAUG
rnacentral:sRNA from 1 species